rnacentral:rRNA from 1 species
CCUACGGGUGGCAGCAGUGGGGAAUAUUGCGCAAUGGGCGAAAGCCUGACGCAGCGACGCCGCGUGCGGGAUGAAGGUCUUCGGAUCGUAAACCUCUGUCGGCAGGGAAGAACGGUCACUGUACUAAUCAGCAGUGAAUUGACGGUACCUGCAAAGGAAGCACCGGCUAACUCCGUGCCGGCAGCCGCGGUCAUCCGGAGGGGGCGAGCGUUAAUCGGAGUUACUGGGCGUAAAGCGCUCGUAGGCGGUAUGUCAAGUCAAGGGUGAAAUCCCCGCGCUGAACGUGGGAACUGCCUGUGAAACUGGGAAACUGGAGUGUGUGAGAGGAUAGUGGAAUUCCAGGUGUAGGAGUGAAAUCCGUAGAUAUCUGGAGGAACAUCAGUGGCGAAGGCGACCAUCUGGCACAUAACUGACGCUGAGGAGCGAAAGCGUGGGUAGCAAACAGGAUUAGAUACCCUUGUAGUC